UACAGAGGUCUCAAGCGUUUGUUCGGAUUCAUUGGGCGUAAAGGGUGUGUAGGCGGCGCGGUAAGUCGGGUGUGAAAUCUCGGAGCUUAACUUCGAAACUGCAUUCGAUACUGCCGUGCUUGAGGACUGGAGAGGAGACUGGAAUUUACGGUGUAGCGGUGAAAUGCGUAGAUAUCAGGAAGAACACCAAUGGCGAAGGCAGCUCUCUGGGACGGUACUGGACGCUGAGACGCGAAAGCGUGGGGAGCGAACAGG
rnacentral:rRNA from 1 species